rnacentral:rRNA from 1 species
AGUUCGGUCCCUAUCCGCUGUGCGCGUAGGAAUAUUGAGAAGGGCUGUCCCUAGUACGAGAGGACCGGGACGGACGAACCUCUGGUGUGCCAGUUGUUCUGCCAAGGGCAUGGCUGGUUGGCUACGUUCGGGAGGGAUAACCGCUGAAAGCAUCUAAGCGGGAAGCCUGCUUCGAGAUGAGUAUUCCCACCUCCUUGAGAGGGUAAGGCUCCCAGUAGACGACUGGGUUGAUAGGCCGGAUAUGGAAGCCCUGUAAGGGGUGGAGUUGACCGGUACUAAUAGGCCGAGGGCUUGUCCUC